CGUAGGUGGCGAGCGUUAUCCGGAAUUACUGGGCGUAAAGCGUGUGCAGACGGGCUAGCAAGUGGUGUAUGAAAGCUCCCGGCUCAACCGGGAAGGGUUAUGCCAGACUGCUAGUCUUGAGUGCGAGAGAGGAGCGUGGAAUUCCGGGUGUAGUGGUGAAAUGCGUAGAGAUCCGGAGGAACCCCAGAGGCGAAGGCGGCGCUCUGGCUCGCAACUGACGCUCAGACACGACAGCAUGGGGAGCGAACGGGAUUAGAAACCCCGGUAGUCCAUGCCGUAAACGAUGCUAACUAGGCGCUGCGGGACUCAACCCCCGCGGUGCCGCAGCAAACGCGAUAAGUUAGCCGCCUGGGGAGUACGGCCGCAAGGCUA
rnacentral:rRNA from 1 species